GGACAGGCUGGGUAAGAUGGAGCCAUCCAGCAGGACUUUCAAGAGGGGGUGGGGGCUGUGGACCAUUGGUGGCUAUAUGAAUGACAGAGAAGGAUAGCACGGAGAGACGUGCUAGAGGAGGCGCUGGGCAAAGCAUGUUAGCGAGAAUGUGGUCUUAGAGCACAUGGAACUGAGAGAAGUAGAGGGUCUGGAGCAGGACUUGGAAGUCCAGACUGUGGAUUUUGAAUUUGAUCAAUGACUGUCCCUAAACGUCUUUUAUUCAAGAGGAUGGAAAAAAAUGUGUCUCUCUGGGACACUGAGGCUCCUAAGGAAUGCAGGGGGUGGUAGCUGGGCCAGGGAAUUCAGGAGGCAGGGAGGGCUGAGCCAACUCUCCCAGCGGGCCUAGGCCCGUCUGCCAGAGCAGGAAAGAGAAAUAAACACAGGCCGGACUGAUCCAGAGCGGGCACAAAGCCCCAGCUGAAGGUCUCCUGAAUCUCCACACUCGGCCAUGCACGCUCACGGGCUGCCUACUGUGACCCCAAGAGAUCAGUGCUACUGAACCUGUAUUAUAGACAUGGACACUGAGCUUCUGAAGGCAUUGUUCUGGCAGUUUGGACUGAAUGCCUCAAACACUGGUCUGGUAAUUUCAUCAUGUGGUCAGAGGUUCAUGAAUAAGAAAGUGCAAUCCAUCAUUGUAUGUAACGGCAAACAUGUAGAAACAACCAAGCUGCCCAACAAUAGAAGACUAAAUAGCACAUCCACUUGCUUGAAUACUAUGCCACUAAAGUAAUGGAUAUAAAUGUUUUAUAAUAAUGUGAAGACUUAGUUUUGAGCUAAUUUGGGAUAGGAAAACAGUUUACAACUUGCGCAGGAAGUAUUAUCUCAAUUGUGUAAAAUAAAAAUACAUGUGUGGAAAGAUUAUGAGAGAAUACUCUUAAAUAUUCUUAAUGGUUGUUCUGAGGCAUUCAUUUUUUC
rnacentral:lncRNA from 10 species